UAGAGUUUGAUCCUGGCUCAGAGUGAACGCUGGCGGCAUGCCUAACACAUGCAAGUCGAACGGUAACAGGCCCGCAAGGGUGCUGACGAGUGGCGGACGGGUGAGGAAUACAUCGGAAUCUGCCCGGUUGUGGGGGAUAACGUAGGGAAACUUACGCUAAUACCGCAUACGACCGAAAGGUGAAAGCGUGGGAUCCGCAAGGACCUCGCGCAGCCGGAUGAGCCGAUGUCGGAUUAGCUAGUUGGCGGGGUAAAGGCCCACCAAGGCGACGAUCCGUAGCUGGACUGAGAGGAUGAUCAGCCACACUGGGACUGAGACACGGCCCAGACUCCUACGGGAGGCAGCAGUGGGGAAUAUUGGACAAUGGGGGCAACCCUGAUCCAGCAAUGCCGCGUGUGUGAAGAAGGCCUUCGGGUUGUAAAGCACUUUUAUCCGGAACGAAACGUGUCAGGCGAAUAGCUUGGCAAACUGACGGUACCGGAGGAAUAAGCACCGGCUAACUUCGUGCCAGCAGCCGCGGUAAUACGAAGGGUGCAAGCGUUACUCGGAAUUACUGGGCGUAAAGCGUGCGUAGGUGGUUUGUUAAGUCUGCUGUGAAAGCCCCGGGCUCAACCUGGGAAUGGCAGUGGAUACUUGCAAGCUAGAGUGCGGUAGAGGGUAGUGGAAUUCCCGGUGUAGCGGUGAAAUGCGUAGAGAUCGGGAGGACACAGUGGCGAGGCGGCUACCUGGACCAGCACUGACACUGAGCACCAAAGCGUGGGGGAGCU
rnacentral:rRNA from 1 species